GGACAGCUGGCUUGAAGGAUAGUAAUUUCUGUCCCUAAAUGGAGAUCAUAGAAUCAUAAAGGUUGGAUGAGAUCACUAAGAUCAUCUAGUCUAACCACUGAUCCACCCUCACCAUGCCCACCAGUCCCUCAGUGCUGCAUCUCCACAGUUCUUGAAUACCUCCAAGGACGCUUUCAUUCUUUCUAAAUUCUGCUUGCACAGGCAGAAAAACAUACAAAAAUCCACAAUUUCAGAGUAUCAUCCUGCAGAAUGGAGCCCUCUGCCUCCCUCUCCCUUCUGUGCUGCAGUCCGUGACUUGAUCCCCCAAAGGCAAUGAGCUUCAUUCAUCAUGCUCUGUCCAGCACCAUAAAAUACAUCUUGCCUGCUCCUCCUGGUCCGUGUGGGCCAGGCAGGGAGACACAGGAUACUUCAGACUUCAGCUCUGGACUGUUGGUUAUGUGAUCCUUUUCUGUACAGAAAUAUUUGAAAAAGCUGUGGCACAACGGUGUCUAAUUCUGUCUCCGGCAAGAAUGGAAAUUGGAGGAAGGAAGUUUCCAAACACGUUCAUUCCUCUGGGCAGUGAUUACAUCUCCUUUGAUGUGGGUCACCGUGGAAGGAUGAAGGCUGCAUGAUGUCACUAGCUUCCCUUCACCCCUCUGAUGGACCAGUGAGGUGCUGCCAAUGUCAACACAGAGUGGUGCUGCUGGCUGACUGAGAGAAACACGGUGUUGAGCCCUUCCAUGGCACCACCAGGGUUUUGUCAGCCUGCCUCAGACAGCACUGCAGCAUGCCCUGCAGGGAGGCAGUACAGAUGACUGUCUUGUACGUCCAUAGAAUCAUAGAAUUGUCCAGGUUGGAAAAGACCUUAAAGAUCAUCAAGUCCAACUACAACCUAACCAUACUAUCCACAGCUCCAUAUGGAGUUGUGC
rnacentral:lncRNA from 1 species